UGAAACUCAGAAUUCUGCCUUGAUGUUUCA
rnacentral:piRNA from 1 species